rnacentral:rRNA from 1 species
UACGUAGGGUGCGAGCGUUGUCCGGAAUUAUUGGGCGUAAAGGGCUCGUAGGCGGUCUGUCACGUCGGGAGUGAAAACUCAGGGCUUAACCCUGAGCCUGCUUCCGAUACGGGCAGACUAGAGGUAUGCAGGGGAGAAUGGAAUUCCUGGUGUAGCGGUGAAAUGCGUAGAUAUCAGGAGGAAUACCGGUGGCGAAAGCGACUCUCUGGACGGCAACUGACGCUGAGGCACGAAAGCGUGGGGAGCAAACAGG